UAGCGACACCAUGGUAACGGCAGCUGUCGCGAGAGUAGGACGAUAUUUCCGCUACACGAAGAAAGCAUGGGUCAUGAUUGGCUGAUAGAAAACGCGCGCUUUAAAUUGCUGUUGCUGAUUGGUUCGCAUUGUUCCGAGUAUAUUCUGUUCAGCAGUGUGGUUUAUUAAUAAGCUGAUUUAAUUACACUUAAAUAAUUAAUUAAAUGACUGGCUAUUUGAUUAUGUAUCUGGUUAAAUGUGUGUUUAUCUAUGUGUUUUUUUUUUUAUACAUAUAUAUUUUAGUGUAAUUCUAUGAAUAAGUACCUUUUUUAUUCUGGCUCCUAAAAGUGAUGAAAAUUACAGUGCAAAUGUUUUAGGUAAGCCUACAUGCAAUAUAACGAAAUUAAAUGUUUAUUAAUAUUUCUGAAACUGCUUAUCUUCUGGGGUUUUCACUUAAAACAGUCUCAAGAGUUUAUGCAGCAUUAUGUGAAAAACACAUUCAGUGAGGGGUGGAAAUGUCUUGGAGAGGUCAAAGAGAAUGGACAGAUAACAGCACAGUGGGCACAAAACUGGGCAGCUGAAGACCUGAAAAACAUUGCCUGGACCUUUCAAAUAUAUGCAUUUACUAUUACUAUAAAUGAAAAGCUUGCUGCUAAGCUAGUCUAGGUGUCAGCUGAACUAGACACAACCAGGCCUGAUUACUACAAACCCUGUUCAGUCAAAUCAACACUUUUUCAACAGCAUGGAUUUGGUUAAAAGGUCUUACCCAGUGACACACUAUGCUGAAAUUGAAAGAAAUUCCAGAAAUGAUGAGGAAGAAGGUGAUUGUAAUACAUUAGUCUGGGAAUGGUUACAAAGCUAUUUCAAAGGCUUUGGGACUCCAAAGAACCACAGUGAGAACCAUUAUCUCCAAAUGGAAAAAGUCGGCAUAGUAGUGAACAUUUCCAGAAGUGUCCAGCCUUCCAAAAUUUCUCCAAGACAACAGCAACUACUCAUCCAGGAAGUCCCAAAAGACCCAAGGACAACAUCAAAAGACCUACAGGCCUUUACUGUAUCAAUAAAGUUCACUGUUCAUGACUCCACUAUCAGAAAAAUGGCAUCCAGGGAAGAAUAGUGAGGUGAAAACCACUGCUGACCCAGAAGAACAAUAAAAAUUCAGGCUCGUCUGAAUUUUGCCAAAACACACCUUUAUGAUCCUCAAACCUUUUGGGAGAAUGUUCUGUGGACUGUUGAGUCAAAAGUGGAACUAUUUGGAAGACAGGGGUCCCAUUACAUAUGGUGUAAACCAAACACAGAAUUCCACAAAAAGAACACCAUAUCUAUGGUAAAGCAUGGUGGGGGAAGUGUGACUUUGUGGAGAUGCUUUGCUGCUUCAGGGCCUGAGCAACUUGCAGUAAUUAAGGGAAACAUGAAUUCUAUUCUCUACCAGGUUAUCCUAAAGGAGAAUGUCCGGUCUUCAGUCUGUAAGGUGAAACUCAAGCGCAGCUGGAUUAUGCAGCAGGACAACGAUUCAAAGAAUAGAUGUAGGUUCUAGUCCUAGAAGUAAGUGAAAGUCUGAUCUCAGAAGUGUUUGGUUGCGGUUAUUGCUGCUAAAGUUGGUACAACCAGAUUUUAAGUUUAAUGGGGCAAUUAGUUUUUCACAUUGGUGAUGGGUGUUGGAUUUUUUUUUUUUUUUUUCUUCAAUAAAAAAAAUUGUAUUGUGUGUUUACUCAGAUUGCCUUUGUUUUAUGUUGUACUCCUUUGAAGCUCUACAACGAUUUUGUAUGAGAUAUGCACAAAAACAGAAGAAAUCGGGAUGGGGCAAAUACUUUUUCACAGCACUGUAAAAUGUGGGCCAAAGAUCUGAGCUCACACUUGUGUAGAUUUGUGUCUCUCUAAUAUGAACUAGACUCUAGCAGUGUUGCUUUUGUACGCUGAUGUAAACCUAUACAAAUGAGCCAUAAUUAGGUCUUACUAAUUUCCCCAGGCAACAAUAAGCCAUAUUAUUGAAGUUUGUACCUAAUUAAGAGCUCAUUGCUGCUAGAGACAGUGUGCCGGAAACAAGGAAAGAGAUUCUGGACUUCCAAAUAAUAUUUUCCCACAAAGUAUGGGACCUUGUCUACAGAAAAACUGGAAUUGUGCAGGAAAACUGGAACUAUGCUUUUCCUACCAAUUAUUGGACCUAUACAAAAACUGUUUAAGGAACAAGGUUUAAUUUCUUGUUUUAAAAUUAAGGAAACAGAUCCAUAGAGUGAUGAGGAAACACUGUGCUAGUCCUAUCUAGGGGCGUCAGUAGACCCUUUUUUUUAAAAAGAAAAUCUGAUAAAUUAUUGUCUGAUGAGGUAGAUUAUAGUA